GAUGAACGCUGGCGGCGUGCUUAAUACAUGCAAGUCGAACGGAAAGGCCCUGCUUUUGUGGGGUGCACGAGAGGCGAACGGGUGAGUAACACGUGAGUAACCCGCCCUUGACUUUGGGAUAACUUCAGGAAAAUGGGGAUCUUACCGGAUAGGAGCUCCUGCAGCACGGGGGGGGUUGGAAAGUUUCGGCGGUUGGGGAUGGACUCGCGGCUUAUCAGCUUGUUGGUGGGGUAGUGGCUGACCAAGGCUUUGACGGGUAGCCGGCCUGAGAGGGUGACCGGCCACAUUGGGACUGCGAUACGGCCCAGACUCCUACGGGAGGCAGCAGUGGGGAAUAUUGCGCAAUGGGCGGAAGCCUGAUGCGGCAACGCCGCGUGCGGGAUGACGGCCUUCGGGUUGUAAACCGCUUUCGCCUGUGACGAAGCGUGAGUGACGGUAAUGGGUAAAGAAGCACCGGCUAACUACGUG
rnacentral:rRNA from 1 species